GAUCAUGGCUCAGGAUGAACGCUAGCUACAGGCUUAACACAUGCAAGUCGAGGGGCAGCAUAACGAAAGCUUGCUUUGUUGAUGGCGACCGGCGCACGGGUGAGUAACGCGUAUCCAACCUUCCCCUUAGUAGGGCAUAGCCCGUAGAAAUGCGGAUUAAUACCCUAUGUUCUUCGAAGCGGUCAUCCAAUUUGAAGCAAAGAUUCAUCGCUAAGGGAUGGGGAUGCGUCCGAUUAGGUUGUUGGCGGGGUAACGGCCCACCAAGCCAUCGAUCGGUAGGGGUUCUGAGAGGAAGGUCCCCCACAUUGGAACUGAGACACGGUCCAAACUCCUACGGGAGGCAGCAGUGAGGAAUAUUGGUCAAUGGACGAGAGUCUGAACCAGCCAAGUAAGCGUGCAGGACGACGGCCCUAUGGGUUGUAAACUGCUUUUAUACAGGGAUAAAGUCGGGGACGUGUCCCCGUUUGUAGGUACUGUAUGAAUAAGGACCGGCUAAUUCCGUGCCAGCAGCAGC
rnacentral:rRNA from 1 species